rfam:Equus caballus chromosome 6, whole genome shotgun sequence.
UUUUUAGUGUAAGUAUGUCUUAUGCAAUAUUUGGGACAUACUUAUGCUAAAA